AGUGAACGCUGGCGGUAGGCCUAACACAUGCAAGUCGAACGGCAGCGCAGUAAGAGCUUGCUCUUACGGGUGGCGAGUGGCGGACGGGUGAGGAAUACAUCGGCAUCUACUUUUUCGUGGGGGAUAACGUAGGGAAACUUACGCUAAUACCGCAUACGACCUACGGGUGAAAGCAGUGGAUCUUCGGACCUUGCGCGAUUGAAUGAGCCGAUGUCGGAUUAGCUAGUUGGCGGGGUAAAGGCCCACCAAGGCGACGAUCCGUAGCUGGUCUGAGAGGAUGAUCAGCCACACUGGAACUGAGACACGGUCCAGACUCCUACGGGAGGCAGCAGUGGGGAAUAUUGGACAAUGGGCGCAAGCCUGAUCCAGCCAUACCGCGUGGGUGAAGAAGGCCUUCGGGUUGUAAAGCCCUUUUGUUGGGAAAGAAAAGCAGCAGGUUAAUACCCCGCUGUUCUGACGGUACCCAAAGAAUAAGCACCGGCUAACUUCGUG
rnacentral:rRNA from 1 species